CCUACGGGAUGCAGCAGUGGGGAAUAUUGCACAAUGGGGGAAACCCUGAUGCAGCGACGCCGCGUGAGUGAAGAAGUAAUUCGUUAUGUAAAGCUCUAUCAGCAGGGAAGAAACUGACGGUACCUGAGCAAGAAGCCCUGGCGAACUACGUGCCAGCCGCCGCGGUAAGACGUAGGGGGCAAGCGUUAUCCGGAUUUACUGGGUGUAAAGGGAGCGUAGACGGCCGUGCAAGUCUGGAGUGAAAGGCGGGGGCUCAACCCCCGGACUGCUCUGGAAACUGUACGGCUGGAGUGCAGGAGAGGUAAGUGGAAUUCCUAGUGUAGCGGUGAAAUGCGUAGAUAUUAGGAGGAACACCAGUGGCGAAGGCGGCUUACUGGACUGUAACUGACGUUGAGGCUCGAAAGCGUGGGGAGCAAACAGGAUUAGAUACCCGAGUAGUC
rnacentral:rRNA from 1 species